rnacentral:tRNA from 1 species
UCCCUGGUGGUCUAGUGGUUAGGACUCUGUGUUUUCACCACUGCGGCCAAGGGUUCAAUGCCUGGUCUGGGAA